AUAUUCCACGUAACGAGCGGAACAUACCCGUGAUCAUAUUAUCACCCGAUGAUGAUUCGCAGGAAAUCGCAGCUUUUCGUGCGCCCAGUCCAGCUGAAGAAGAAUAUUACGAUAUUUCGCCACGAGUGCGUGAAAAUGAAGAAGAGUGUGAAGAAAAAGAAGAAGAAGAACAGGAUGAGGAG